rnacentral:rRNA from 1 species
UGGGGAAUAUUGGACAAUGGGCGAAAGCCUGAUCCAGCAAUGCCGCGUGAGUGAUGAAGGCCCUAGGGUUGUAAAGCUCUUUUACCCGGGAAGAUAAUGACUGUACCGGGAGAAUAAGCCCCGGCUAACUCCGUGCCAGCAGCCGCGGUAAUACGGAGGGGGCUAGCGUUGUUCGGAUUACUGGGCGUAAAGCGCACGUAGGCGGCUUUGUAAGUCAGAGGUGAAAGCCUGGAGCUCAACUCCAGAACUGCCUUUGAGACUGCAUCGCUUGAAUCCAGGAGAGGUCAGUGGAAUUCCGAGUGUAGAGGUGAAAUUCGUAGAUAUUCGGAAGAACACCAGUGGCGAAGGCGGCUGACUGGACUGGUAUUGACGCUGAGGUGCGAAAGCGUGGGGAGCAAACAG